UACAGAGGUCCCGAGCGUUGUUCGGAUUCAUUGGGCGUAAAGGGUGCGUAGGCGGCGGGGCAAGUCUGAUGUGAAAUCCCGGGGCUCAACCCUGGAACUGCAUUGGAUACUGCCUUGCUAGAGUACUGGAGAGGAAACUGGAAUUUACGGUGUAGCAGUGAAAUGCGUAGAUAUUAGGAAGAACACCAGUGGCGAAGGCGGCUCACUGGCCCGGAACUGACGCUGAGGUACGAAAGCGUGGGGAGCAAACAGG
rnacentral:rRNA from 1 species